UAACGUUAGCCAACAUCAUGAAGAUGAAAAAUUAUGAGCAUACUUUCGUCAUUGUCAUUAUAAUUUGUGAAAUUUAUUAAUAUUCUUACUUGACUUUUUAUUUUUUUUCUCUUCGUAGCGUAACAAAGUUUUUAUCUUGAUUGUUGUGUGAAGUUUCUUUAUUAUUUCAAAUGAUUCGUGAAUUAGCUGUAAGACUUGUAUCUGGUUAACAAUGGAAAAUCAUGCAAAUCGUGCUUGAUAACUGUUCACUUAUGGUAUAUUAAGGAAUUUUCUUGUGAUUGAGUGACGUUGAUCGUUCGGAUAGUACGAGAGAAAUCAAAAGUUAGUCGGUUCAAGUCAUCUGUAUUUACCAAUAAGACAAUCGAGUCUUAUCAACAUUAUUGAUCCAAAAUUCAAUAAACUACACAUUGUAUCUCGACUGUCCGGGAUUGUUAUUGCUAGGCGCGCAAUAUAGUCAUGUAAGUAAAUAUAGAUGAGUGUACAUGAGUAAGUCGGAAAAAACAAUAUGAUUUGAAAGACAAAAGAGGACGUUCUGUAAGAACUUGUUGACAUCGAAUCGUUAAUAGCCUGAUUAUAUAUUAUCGUUCAAAAUUAUUUUGCGAAAAAACUGCCAAACAUUCCUUAAAAACCUCGAUCGUACAUAUACAUAUGUGUAUAGACGUAAUCUUAUUUUAUAUUAAUAAAGAUCUGUCACAUUUUGCAGAUUAUAAUAUAUAAGAAGCUACAAAUUGAUGAAACUCAAUACAGUAUAGUGAAGAUCGUAUCUUAUUUUGUAUCGUUUCUCGUAAGUACGAGUAAGUAAAAAGUAAGUAAACAAGUGUGUUAAAAAAUUUCUAAUAAAUUCUGGUGUAAGAACGUACAUUAAGCAUAGAAGAACUUUCUGUUAUUCUAUUUUGGUUGGCAUGUGUAAGAAAUUUGUCUUUGUACAAGAAUUCAAAGACUGUGUUGGAAAGUGGGGAUAGGUGAUCUCUUUUUCAAAAUAAUACGAUACCCAUGACAACUGAUUCAUUUAUAUUAGCUUACAUCUAUAACACACUGUUCUGUGGUAUAAGUAAAUAACAUUAUUUUCUUAUUUAUUUAUUUAU